GGGCGGCCGCGGGGAGGGCCGGCCGGGCUCCCAGCCUCCGCACACGCCCUACACGGCGUAUCCUUACAGCCUGGGCCCCGACAUUACUGGCGCCGCGGCAGCCCCGGCUCCGGCUGCGAGUGCUGGACAGUGGCCAGAAGAGAGGCCCCGCGGCUUCAGCUCUCCGGCCAGCGCUGUGCGCGCACACUAAGCGGAGCAAAGACAUAACUGAAGCUGAGCCAUCCCUUGACAUCAACUAUAUGAAGGAGAAUUUUCCCAAGGAUGAACUGCACCUAUUCUUGCUGCCUUAACCAGAAUACAUGGAACAAAAUCAAACUUUUCUGCCAUAAGGCUGUCUGUCCUCUCACAAGUGACGAUGUCCUCAGGCUCUCAUGAGUUAUGGAGAGUCUGUGUCUGCUACACUUAAUGACCUCAGACGGACAUGUUUUUGAGAGUCUGUUUCCCAGGGAACCCAGUGUGCGACCGCCUUUCCAGGAUACAAGAGCCAGACUUUCCUAUCACAGAAGUCCUAUGACUUCUCACCUUUCCUGGAGACCCUCUGAAGUAUUUCCAAGAAUUGUCAGGUCUAGAUGAAGCUGAAUGUUCCUUCCCCUGGUCACUGGGACCACGUCUCGUCUAGUCUUCAGAUUUCAGGUAUAAGCCUCUCAGAAGGCCAAACGUAAACACGGUUCCUGCCCAGCUGGUCUUCUCCUUUGAUAACCACCCAUCGUUCUCUACUAGCCUGUCGAUAAGCAUUUAAUGAGGA